UACGGGGGGGCGAAGCGUUGUUCGGUAAUUACUGGGCGUAAAGGGGCUCGAUAGGCGGCCCUCUCAGUUCGGAUGUGAAAGUCCCCAGGCUUAACCUGGGAACGGCAUCCGAUACUGGAGGGCUUGAAUUCGGGAGAGGGGAUGCAGAAUUCCGAGGUGUAGCGGUGAAAUUCGAUAGAUAUUCGCAAGAACACCAGUGGCGAAGGCGGCUCACUGGCCCGGUACUGACGCUGAGGUGCGAAAGCGUGGGGAGCAAACAGGG
rnacentral:rRNA from 1 species